rnacentral:rRNA from 1 species
UACGUAGGGGGGCAAGCGUUGUCCGGAAUCAUUGGGCGUAAAAGCGCGUGUAGGCGGCUCGGUAAGUCUGCUGUGAAAGUCCAGGGCUCAACCCUGGGAUGCCGGUGGAUACUGUCGAGCUCGAGUCCGGAAGAGGCGAGUGGAAUUCCUGGUGUAGCGGUGAAAUGCGCAGAUAUCAGGAGGAACACCAAUGGCGAAGGCAGCUCGCUGGGGACGUGACUGACGCUGAGACGCGAAAAGCGUGGGGGAGCAAACAGG